GAUGAACGCUGGCGGCGUGCCUAAUACAUGCAAGUCGAGCGAACGGGCGAGAAGCUUGCUUCUCUGAUGUUAGCGGCGGACGGGUGAGUAACACGUGGAUAACCUACCUAUAAGACUGGGAUAACUUCGGGAAACCGGAGCUAAUACCGGAUAAUAUUUUGAACCGCAUGGUUCAAAAGUGAAAGACGGUCUUGCUGUCACUUAUAGAUGGAUCCGCGCUGCAUUAGCUAGUUGGUAAGGUAACGGCUUACCAAGGCAACGAUGCAUAGCCGACCUGAGAGGGUGAUCGGCCACACUGGAACUGAGACACGGUCCAGACUCCUACGGGAGGCAGCAGUAGGGAAUCUUCCGCAAUGGGCGAAAGCCUGACGGAGCAACGCCGCGUGAGUGAUGAAGGCCUUCGGAUCGUAAAACUCUGUUAUUAGGGAAGAACAUAUGUGUAAGUAACUGUGCACAUCUUGACGGUACCUAAUCAGAAAGCCACGGCUAACUACGUG
rnacentral:rRNA from 1 species